rnacentral:rRNA from 1 species
GACGAACGCUGGCGGCGUGCUUAACACAUGCAAGUCGAGCGGUAAGGCCCUUUCGGGGGUACACGAGCGGCGAACGGGUGAGUAACACGUGGGUGACCUGCCCUCAGCUCUGGGAUAAGCCUGGGAAACCGGGUCUAAUACCGGAUAUGACUCCAUGACGCAUGUUGUGGGGUGGAAAGCCUUGUGCGGCUGAGGAUGGGCCCGCGGCCUAUCAGCUUGUUGGUGGGGUGAGGCCUACCAAGGCGACGACGGGUAGCCGGCCUGAGAGGGCGACCGGCCACACUGGGACUGAGACACGGCCCAGACUCCUACGGGAGGCAGCAGUGGGGAAUCUUGCGCAAUGGGCGAAAGCCUGACGCAGCGACGCCGCGUGAGGGAUGACGGCCUGGUUGUAA